rnacentral:rRNA from 1 species
AACGAACGCUGGCGGCAUGCUUACACCUUCCAGUCGCACGAGACCUUCGGGUCUAGUUGCGCACGGGUGCGUAACGCUUGGGAACCUGCCCUUAGGUUCGGAAUAACUCCCCGUAAGGGGUGCUAAUACCGGAUAAUGUCUUCGGACCAAAGAUUUAUCGCCUUUGGAUGGGCCCGCGUUGGAUUAGCUAGUUGGUAGGGUAAAAGCCUACCAAGGCGACGAUCCAUAGCUGGUCUGAGAGGAUGAUCAGCCACACUGGGACUGAGACACGGCCGAGACUCCUACGGGAGGCAGCAGUGGGGAAUAUUGGACAAUGGGAGAAAGCCUGAUCCAGCAAUGCCGCGUGAGUGAUGAAGGCCUUAGGGUUGUAAAGCUCUUUUACCCGGGAUGAUAAUGACAGUACCGGGAGAAUAAGCACCGGCUAACUCCGUG